rnacentral:rRNA from 1 species
AUUGAACGCUGGCGGCAGGCCUAACACAUGCAAGUAGAACGAGUGGCGGACGGGUGAGUAAUGUCUGGGAAAAUGCCUGAUGGAGGGGGAUAACUACUGGAAACGGUAGCUAAUACCGCAUACCAUCGGAUGUGCCCAGAUGGGAUUAGCUCGUAGGUGGGGUAACGGCUCACCUAGGAGACGAUCCCUAGCUGGUCUGCGAGGAUGACCAGCCACACUGGAACUGAGACACGUGCCAGACUCCUACGGGAGGCAGCAGUGGGGAAGAUUGCACAAUGGGCGCAAGCCUGAUGCAGCCAUGCCGCGUGUAUGAAGAAGGCCUUCGGGUUGUAAAGUACUUUCAGCGGGGAGGCGUUACUCGCAGAAGAAGCACCGGCUAACUCCGUGCCAGCCGCCGCGGUAAUAC